rnacentral:rRNA from 1 species
GACGAAUGCUGGCUGCGUGCUUAACACAUGCAAGUCGAACGGUGAAGGGGAGCUAGCUCCCCGGAUCAGUGGCGAACGGGUGAGUAACACGUGGGCAACCUGCCCCUCACUCUGGGAUAACUCCGGGAAACCGGGGCUAAUACCGGAUACGACCGGGAGCGACAUCGCUCCUGGUGGAAAGAACUUCGGUGAGGGAUGGGCCCGCGGCCUAUCAGCUAGUUGGUGGGGUAACGGCCCACCAAGGCGACGACGGGUAGCCGGCCUGAGAGGGCGACCGGCCACACUGGGACUGAGGCACGGCCCAGACUCCUACGGGAGGCAGCAGUGGGGAAUAUUGCGCAAUGGGCGAAAGCCUGACGCAGCGACGCAGCGUGAGGGACGAAGGCCUUCGGGUUGUAAACCUCUUUCAGCGGGGACGAAGCGAAAGUGACGGUACCCGCAGAAGAAGCACCGGCUAACUACGUGCCAGCCGCCGCCGUAA